UUACGGCCAUAUCAUGUUGAAACACCGGUUCUCAUACAAUCACCGAAUUUAAGCAACGUAGAGCCUGGUCAGUACCUAGAUGGGUGACCGCUUGGGAAAACCAGGUGCU